CAAGUAAAAUAAAAUACGCCAAAGACAGCAAGUACUCGUAAGAGAUAAACCUUGCCGAGGUAAAAAGGCUUAAGUGGCCGAGAAAAUGUCUUUGGUAAAAAACCAAAGAUUUUUUAAUAAACAG
rfam:Candidate division CPR2 bacterium GW2011_GWC1_41_48 TT65_C0004, whole genome shotgun sequence.